CCCGGGCCUUGUACACACCGCCCGUCACACCAUGGGAGUUGGUUUUACCCGAAGGUAGUGCGCUAACCGCAAGGAGGCAGCUAACCACGGUAGGGUCAGCGACUGGGUG
rnacentral:rRNA from 1 species